rnacentral:rRNA from 1 species
GAUGAACGCUGGCGGCGUGCCUAAUACAUGCAAGUCGAGCGAACGGACGAGAAGCUUGCUUCUCUGAUGUUAGCGGCGGACGGGUGAGUAACACGUGGAUAACCUACCUAUAAGACUGGGAUAACUUCGGGAAACCGGAGCUAAUACCGGAUAAUAUUUUGAACCGCAUGGUUCAAAAGUGAAAGACGGUCUUGCUGUCACUUAUAGAUGGAUCUGCGCUGCAUUAGCUAGUUGGUAAGGUAACGGCUUACCAAGGCAACGAUGCAUAGCCGACCUGAGAGGGUGAUCGGCCACACUGGAACUGAGACACGGUCCUGACUCCUACGGGAGGCAGCAGUAGGGAAUCUUCCGCAAUGGGCGAAAGCCUGACGGAGCAACGCCGCGUGAGUGAUGAAGGUCUUCGGAUCGUAAAACUCUGUUAUUAGGGAAGAACAUAUGUGUAAGUAACUGUGCACAUCUUGACGGUACCUAAUCAGAAAGCCACGGCUAACUACGUG